rnacentral:rRNA from 1 species
CAGACCUCUAAUCGGAAAAGACUACCCGCUGAGUUUAAGCAUAUCACUAAGCGGAGGAGAAGAAACUAACCAGGAUUUCCAUAG